rnacentral:rRNA from 1 species
AACGAACGCUGGCGGCAUGCCUAACACAUGCAAGUCGAGCGAGACCUUCGGGUCUAGUGGCGCACGGGUGCGUAACGCGUGGGAACCUGCCCUUAGGUUCGGAAUAACUCCCCGAAAGGGGUGCUAAUACCGGAUAAUGUCUUCGGACCAAAGAUUUAUCGCCUUUGGAUGGGCCCGCGUUGGAUUAGCUAGUUGGUAGGGUAAAAGCCUACCAAGGCGACGAUCCAUAGCUGGUCUGAGAGGAUGAUCAGCCACACUGGGACUGGGACACGGCCCAGACUCCUACGGGAGGCAGCAGUGGGGAAUAUUGGACAAUGGGCGAAAGCCUGAUCCAGCAAUGCCGCGUGAGUGAUGAAGGCCUUAGGGUUGUAAAGCUCUUUUACCCGGGAUGAUAAUGACAGUACCGGGAGAAUAAGCUCCGGCUAACUCCGUG